rnacentral:rRNA from 1 species
AGAGUUUGAUCCUGGCUCAGGAUGAACGCUAGCGACAGGCUUAACACAUGCAAGUCGAGGGGCAGCGGGGGAUAAGCUUGCUUUUCCUGCCGGCGACCGGCGCACGGGUGAGUAACACGUAUGCAACCUGCCUCUGUCAGAGGGAUAAUCCGGAGAAAUCCGGUCUAAUAUCGCAUAAAGCGUUUGCGGGGCAUCCUGCGAGCGCCAAAGGAGUAAUCCGGACAGGGAUGGGCAUGCGGCGCAUUAGCUAGUUGGGGGGGUAACGGCCCACCAAGGCGACGAUGCGUAGGGGUUCUGAGAGGAAGGUCCCCCACAUUGGUACUGAGACACGGACCAAACUCCUACGGGAGGCAGCAGUGAGGAAUAUUGGUCAAUGGGCGGAAGCCUGAACCAGCCAAGUCGCGUGAGGGAAGACGGCCCUAAGGGUUGUAAACCUCUUUUGCCGGGGAGCAAAAGCGCCGUGCGCGGUGCUAUGAGAGUACCCGGAGAAAAAGCAUCGGCUAACUCCGUGCCAGCAGCCGCGGUAAUACGGAGGAUGCGAGCGUUAUCCGGAUUUAUUGGGUUUAAAGGGUGCGUAGGCGGACAGUUAAGUCAGCGGUCAAAACGGGCGGCUCAACCGCCUGCCGCCGUUGAAACUGGCAGUCUAGAGUGGGCGAGAAGUACGCGGAAUGCGCGGUGUAGCGGUGAAAUGCAUAGAUAUUGCGCAGAACUCCGAUUGCGAAGGCAGCGUACCGGCGCCCGACUGACGCUGAGGCACGAAAGCGUGGGGAUCGAACAGGAUUAGAUACCCUGGUAGUCCACGCAGUAAACGAUGGACACUAUCUGUUCGGGUCGAGAGAGAUCUGAGUGGCACAGCGAAAGCGUUAAGUGUCCCACCUGGGGAGUACGCCGGCAACGGUGAAACUCAAAGGAAUUGACGGGGGCC